GGUUGACCUCGGAUCAGGUAGGAAUACCCGCUGAACUUAAGCAUAUCAUAA
rnacentral:rRNA from 2 species